AUCUUUUUUUUAUAUAUAUCAUAAUUUUUUUUUUUAAAGAGUGAGAUGUUUUAAAUACGAAAAUGGACGCAAAAACCUCGCGAAACGCGAGGUUCGCCAUAAUUUGUAAUGAUCCUUCCGCAGGUUCACCUACGGAAA
rnacentral:misc_RNA from 1 species